rnacentral:rRNA from 1 species
GAUGAACGCUGGCGGCGUGCCUAAUACAUGCAAGUCGAGCGAACAGACGAGGAGCUUGCUCCUCUGACGUUAGCGGCGGACGGGUGAGUAACACGUGGAUAACCUACCUAUAAGACUGGGAUAACUUCGGGAAACCGGAGCUAAUACCGGAUAAUAUAUUGAACCGCAUGGUUCAAUAGUUAAAGACGGUUUUGCUGUCACUUAUAGAUGGAUCCGCGCCGCAUUAGCUAGUUGGUAAGGUAACGGCUUACCAAGGCAACGAUGCGUAGCCGACCUGAGAGGGUGACCGGCCACACUGGAACUGAGACACGGUCCAGACUCCUACGGGAGGCAGCAGUAGGGAAUCUUCCGCAAUGGGCGAAAGCCUGACGGAGCAACGCCGCGUGAGUGAUGAAGGUCUUCGGAUCGUAAAACUCUGUUAUUAGGGAAGAACAAAUGUGUAAGUAACUAUGCACGUCUUGACGGUACCUAAUCAGAAAGCCACGGCUAACUACGUG